UACGAAGGGGGCUAGCGUUGCUCGGAAUCACUGGGCGUAAAGGGUGCGUAGGCGGGCCUUUAAGUCAGGGGUGAAAUCCCGGAGCUCAACUCCAGAACUGCCUUUGAUACUGAAGAUCUUGAGUUCGGGAGAGGUGAGUGGAACUGCGAGUGUAGAGGUGAAAUUCGUAGAUAUUCGCAAGAACACCAGUGGCGAAGGCGGCUCACUGGCCCGAUACUGACGCUGAGGCACGAAAGCCAGGGGAGCGAACGGG
rnacentral:rRNA from 1 species